AAUCCCAAAUUGCCCGCGUACUGUUGUUUUUCCCUCCUUCUUUGUUGUCCCUCUGCUUAGUCGUCCCUCUGCAUCUCUCUCCUCCAUCGUCUUUUUGCAGUUUUCCAUCGGGGACGCCAUCAGUUCACCUGUGCCUUCUCGCCUCCUCUUAACGCCAUUAAUGUUGCAGCUUUGGUGUGCUUUACUUCCAUGGAAGAGAAGAAAACAGCAACUGGCAUUGGGAUAAAACCAUACUCAUGAAACGAGCUCCUCUAUUUGCAGCUAGGAUCAAUGAAGGUAUCCAGUUUUGAGAAGAAGAGUUGAAGAAUGCAGUUUUGAGAUCAUGAAGAAGACAACUUCCAAUGGAUGAUCACGACAUGCUUAGGAAACCUUAGUUACCCUAUAUUGAAGAUGGGAGGACACCUAUGAAACAAUAUUAAUAUAUUGUGGGAUGUUAACUUAGACUAAACUGUCAUAACUGUCAUGAAUUUCAAUUUGAACUUUUUUCAUUAAUGUAAGAUGUUUGGGAUGUUUAACCCUUCAAUAUAUAUAUUUUAUAUAUAUUUCAAUGAUGAA